GUAAAGUCACUAUUUUACAAUGAUAUGAACUCGUGUCAAAGGAAAAGAAAAAACAUUUUACCAGAGAGACAGGAAAACAAAUAACAAUGUAAAAUAAUAUAGAGUACUAAAAGGAAAAAAUACGAUCAUGUGAUCGUUGUUUUGAAACCUAAGUGAAACGAAAACCAAAAAGAAAUAUGUUAGCAAAUGAAAGGUGAAAAACCUUAGAAGAAAAUGGUAAAA
rnacentral:lncRNA from 1 species